UAUGUGAUCGUCUCUCGCAUAUCAAUAAGCGGAGGAAAAGAAACUAACAAGGAUUCCCCUAGUAACGGCGAGUGAAGCGGGAAGAGCUCAAAUUUGAAAUCUUAAAGAGGUUUCCCCUUACGAAUUGUAGUUUAAAGAAGUGUUUUCUGUUGAGGUUUUGGUAAAAGUUCUUUGGAAUAGGACAUCAUAGAGGGUGAGAAUCCCGUAUUUGACCUUUACUUUCAACUUUGUGAUACACUUUCAAAGAGUCGGAUUGUUUGGGAAUGCAGUCCAAAAUGGGUGGUAAAUUUCAUCUAAAGCUAAAUAUUGGCGAGAGACCGAUAGCGAACAAGUACCGUGAGGGAAAGAUGAAAAGAACUUUGAAAAGAGAGUUAAACAGUACGUGAAAUUGUCAAAAGGGAAGCGUUUGACACCAGUGUUGUUUUUCUGAAAAUCAAUUAAAGAACUGUUUAUGCUAAGUUGUUUAGACUUUAUCAGCUAACUGUUUAGUUUUGAGCUUUUCUUUAAUGCACUUUUCAGUUAACAAGUCAACAUCAAUUUCUUUUGCUGUAAAAAAGCUUGAGGAAGGUGGCUUGAGAUUCGUCUUAAGUGUUUAUAGCCUCUUGCCUAUGCAGUCGGAGAGAUUGAGGUCUGCAGCGUAGAUCCUUCGGGGCUAAAUGCAUUUGUGCUAAGUUAUAGCAUUUUAUAGACAACUUGUUGACUAUGAUUUGUCUUGUAGCUUACUCGCUUAUGUUAUUUUACCUACGCUUAGGAUGUUGAUAUGCAUGACUGAUAU
rnacentral:rRNA from 1 species